UGGGGAAUAUUGGACAAUGGGCGCAAGCCUGAUCCAGCCAUGCCGCGUGAACGAUGAAGGCCUUAGGGUUGUAAAGUUCUUUUGUCAGGGAAGAUAAUGACGGUACCUGAAGAAUAAGCACCGGCUAACUUCGUGCCAGCAGCCGCGGUAAUACGAAGGGUGCUAGCGUUGUUCGGAAUCACUGGGCGUAAAGCGCGCGUAGGCGGCGAUAUAAGUCAGAGGUGAAAGCCUGGAGCUCAACUCCAGAACUGCCUUUGAAACUAUAUUGCUAGAGUGUCGGAGGGAUAGCGGAAUUGCUAAUGUAGAGGUGAAAUUCGUAGAUAUUAGCAGGAACACCGGUGGCGAAGGCGGCUAUCUGGACGACAACUGACGCUGAGGCGCGAAAGCGUGGGGAUCAAACAGGAUUAGAUACCCCCGUAGUCCCUGAGCGGGCUGGCAAGGCGCAU
rnacentral:rRNA from 1 species